GUCGGGAAUAUUGGGCAAUGGGCGCAAGCCUGACCCAGCGACGCCGCGUGAGGGAUGAAGGCCUUCGGGUCGUAAACCUCUGUCGGGGGGGAAGAACGGCAGUGAGGUGAAUAAUCUCACUGUCUGACGGUACCUCCAAAGGAAGCGCCGGCUAACUCCGUGCCAGCAGCCGCGGUAAUACGGAGGGCGCAAGCGUUGUUCGGAAUCACUGGGCGUAAAGCGCGUGUAGGCGGCCGGGCAAGUCGGAUGUGAAAUCCCGAGGCUCAACCUCGGAACUGCACUCGAAACUGCUCGGCUCGAGUCCCGGAGAGGAUGGCGGAAUUCCCGGUGUAGGGGUGAAAUCCGUAGAUAUCGGGAGGAACACCAGUGGCGAAGGCGGCCAUCUGGACGGUGACUGACGCUGAGACGCGAAAGCGUGGGGAGCAAACAGGAUUAGAUACCCCAGUAGUCC
rnacentral:rRNA from 1 species